UGUAUGUGUAAGUAUAUAUGUGUGUAUCUGCAAAUAUCCAAGCAAUCAAACACCAACACAACAUGCAAACACACUCCUGCAAUUUAACACAAAUAUUACAUAAAAACACACCACUGCAUUCAAACUCCAAAAUUAUAUACAAACACACCCCUUCACUCAAACAACAAUACUAUACACAAUUGUACAUCCACAUUUAAAAGCCAACAUUACAU